CUGCACACAAGACUUGUCUCUCUCUCCUCUCCAUCUCUCUCUAAUAAUUCAAAACUCUCUGACUAACCGAUUAAGAUGUCUUCCAGAUCACCGGUAUAGAUGCCCAACGAACAAAUCUAGGAGAACAGGGAAGACGACAGCAUCACAAAUUCGGCCAACGAAGUUUUUGCUCUUUGUCCUGCACUCGAUAUAGUCUGCGCGAUGAUGUCCUUCAAAUUGUCGGCAAAGAUUGCGAACGAACAAAUCUAGGAGAACGGGAAAGACAACGGCAUUCGGUCGACAUAGUUUCAUAAUUUGCUUCAAAACCUUCAGGAAGAACAGAGGAAUUUGUCAUUCUUGCCGGGGGCAAGACACAUGAUGCCGGAAUGCCCCAAAAAGAAGAGAUGCCUAAACUGUGGAGAUGGGUUCGUUAGAUGGUUGGAGGUAGAAAAAAAUUCCAAGAAUCAAGGGAAGUUGUUCCAUUCCUGGACUCACGACUGUGGGUUCUUCAAGUUUUGUAACGUUUCACCCGAUGAAGAGUAUCCAUUGCAAGGUGAAUCAAGUGGCACAACUAAAGGAAGUGAAUCGGUCCAUGAGUUGUCCCGUUUAUUGAAAGUAUGCACAAAAAUAACUGAGGAGCGAGAUGUAGAUAUUUCACUUAACAUAACCAUGCGCAAGGAAAAAUGUGUUUCGGAUGAUUUAAUCUGAAGUCUAUGUAAUUGGAUGAUUUCAACUUCUUUAGCUUUAAGUUUGUUUUACGAGUAUUUGGAUGAUUUUGACUUCGUUGGCUUUAAGUUUGAUUUACUUGUAUUUGGAUGA